CCAAUAAGGGGUCGCUCGAGCGGUGCAGCACAGCAUGGUGACGGCUGGACUGAGGCCGUUGCCAUUUUGCUGCCGUCACCCAGACAGCACACCUCCCACGACAUGCGGCGGGGGCACUGUCAGGAGAGACGGCAGCAGUGGCCAGCGGACGGGAACCUUGCCCGAUUCAAAGAGGUGCAUCCCCACAUCUCCCAACCAGUCCUCGUCCUGGGCUCACUAGCACUCUGCCAGGCACAGCACCCAGCAUGAGCUCGCGUUUCCGGGCAGCACCAGCUGUUGGCAUCUUGGCACCAAGGGCAUGGCUGGGGCCCUACCACUGUCCCCUGAUGAGAGACCCCACCCAUAUCCAGGCUGCACAGACCCACGUGGAGUGAGGGGGAGAGGAGGGUGACGUUAUAGGACGAGAGGGGCUGCUGGGUAUCAUGGGUGGCCUGUGAUAUCUACGCGUCAAGUAUCUAAAGGGGACAAAGACAGAACUGCCCCAGACUCCCCACCCCUCAAGUGGGGACCCCCAUCAGCCUUAUGAGUGAGGGUAUUACCCUUGGAGCUCCUCACUCAGCGCAGAGGGUCCCUGGCCCUCCCUCGCCGUCCACUCUAGCAGCACUCCGUGCGUCCCCACCCAGAACGCACGGCCCUGGGAUGACAGGUUCGCCUGCUCCCCUUUCGGGCUGUAAGCUCCGGGAGGAGCUCCCAGAACUCACCUGCCUUUCCCUGUUGCUCCCUCGGUGCCCACAACGGAGCCUGGCCCAUAAUCAGACCCCAGGAGUCCCUGUGAGGAGAUCGUGAGAGGUGCUGAGGGAGAGGAAAGCGUGGGGAAGACGCCCAGAUUUCCGAGGCCCCGAGAGAGGAAACACUUCUUGUCCAAGUCACAGGCGAGGCCCAAGGUCACAGUUCCUGCUGGGCCUCCCCGCACACUGCACUGAGCUCAAAGGCGGUGCUGCGACAGCCUGGCAUCUCCCAGCGCAUGUCCCACGGAGCGCCAGGCUCAGACUCUAGUGGGUAGCAACGGUCCACAGGGAAACACCGUGGGGAACUCCGGGUUCGACACAGGGAAAACGCUUCUUCACCAUUGGACUCUCAGAGCCUUUACUGUCCUCGUGCGCAUGGGAUCCUCGGUGAAGGUCACAGUCGGUAUCCCCCACACAUCUGACCACGGAAUUAUGCCUUUGAAGCCCUUGGCAACAUCCCCAACUGCUUGUCAUGAUUAUUUACUGAACAUGGCACAGCACACAGAUUUGUUGCAACUUUUGGGGUGGUGCAAGGAAGCCCUUUUUUCACAAGUGAAAAUUAAUCCCAGCCCCAAAA